UGGAGGCAUCAAAGGCGUUGCAAAUUGAGACCAGACGGGCCAGUGAAACGAAAAGUUCAGACAUAUUGCUCCUUCCUCUUGCCAAUGGACCAUCCCGUUUCCGAUGGACUUAAAAAAAUUCUGGAGGACAUGACAUAUGAUGCUGUUACACGACGGGUGAAAUCCAACCAACUGAUUCUGUCAUUGGGUGAGAGGAUGUUCCUGAAAAAUGGAGAAGUUGGAUGCCAUCGAGCAGAUAUGAGAAAUAAAAUGCGAGAACUUACCAGACUUGUUCUGGUGGCAAGAGAUCUUGACAAAGACACUGUUUUCCUGAAGGACUUGAUUACCCCGGCUAAAUUUAACACUGUGCUUGCGGCAGUGAAAAAGAUGACAGGAUUUGACCACCUAACAAACAGAUUUGCAGUUCCCUCAACUGCACUAAAACUACGCCAUUCCCCGAUGAAGGUCUGAUAUAUUUUGUAGGGAGAGGCUCUGCGACUAGAGGAUGACAUCUUAAAGGCACAAGCAGAACAUUUCAGCAAAUUAAUUCAACUGGAAUGGACAACCCACGUGCCAUCAAAUGCAUUAAAAACGUUGUACCAGAGGAAAUGGAACAAGCCACAAGUACUGCCUCUUGCCAAGGACAUAAAGAAGCUCCAGGACCACUUGAAAACUGCUGUGGAGGUCAGCAGAAAGUCCCUCCUGGAGUGUCCAUCAUCAAACGCAUGGAAUAAUCUUUCUCAAGCAACUUUGACACAGCUGACCCUCUUCAACUGGCAUCGUGAAGGAGAGGUUUCCAGGAUGGAGGUCGAAACAUACCGACACAGAAACAAACACAUUAUGCAAGAUGAAAUUCUGCAGAGCCUCACAGCCUUUGAAAAAAAAUUGUGUGAAAACCUCACCAGGAUAGAAGUGCGUGGGAAAAGAGGACGCAAAGUACCAAUACUCCUUUCAACAGAUGCAAAAGAAUCCAUAGAUCUUCUGAUCAACACUAGAGACAAUGUUGGGGUUUCUCCAAGCAACCCCUACAUUUUUGCCUGUCCUGUCAAAGAGUCUGUGGAGCCUAUUCGUGGAUGUGACACUUUAAGGCGAUAUGCACAAAGCUGUGGGGCUAAGCAUCCAGAAAAUAUCCCCUCCACUACACUAAGAAAGCAUGUGGCUACAGUUUCACAGCUUUUAAACUUAGAAGAUAAUGAACUGGACCAGCUGGCAACAUUCAAGGGACACAACAUUAAUGUGCAUAGGAAGUUUUACAAAAUGCCUGAAGCAACUCUGCAAGUGACAAAAGCAGAAUUCUGUUUGCCAUCCAAAAUGGAAUGGGCAAAUUCAAAGGAUAAUCCCUGGAGGACAUUAUCCCAAACAUUGACUAUGGCUCCAGUGACUCAGAAACAGAAAAUUUUCACUCUAAAGACCAGUCUGCCCCUACAGAUGAGGAUGUGGUUUCAGGAAACUUGGAUGCGGAGGAUUCAGAAGAAAGGGCUACUCUUUCAAGAAGGACUGA